rnacentral:lncRNA from 1 species
GGCGCAGGCGCGGAUGGCGGGGUGUGCUUGGGCGGGAAGUGGGUGGUGAGGGCCGCUCUGGGCUCAGCUUUCCCCACCUGGAAUGCGUCCUGGCUUCGGCUGGCCCGGCCCAACCCUCAGCGGCCGCGGUGCCCAGGCCCACUCCUUCCGCGCCUGGAAACGUGAGACGGGUCCCUGAGGACGACGUAGGCAAACUUUGCAGAGCACGUUGCCACCUGUUGGAGUAGCCGCUCCAGCCCCAGUCGAAAUGCACGGCUGAACAAUGGCAGUUCUGAGUGGCUCAAGGGCCCACACUUUCUUUAAAACUGAUGCACUCGUAGUAAUAUUUCGUAACAUGCCCCACAUCCAGAGGCCUGUGCUCACCACCUCAGCAGUGCCCGGGGAGGUUCGCCAGGCGUGGGCAGGCUUUCCCUUGAAAGCACCUGACCUGGUUCUACCUUGCACUGGGGCUGAAUGGGAAUUACAUGGGAAUCUCUUAUUGUAA